AACUAAGCCCGUUUCCUUAGUAACUAUCUCACUCUCCCACCUAUGUACAAGGACAAUUACUUCUUUCUGCUGAGAGAUGAUGGUGGAGCCAAAAGAGAAGGAAUAAGGCUCUGGACAGAUGGAAAAAAUUGAGGAAUCAAACCAGAACAAAUUGCACUGGGACUAUUAUGUGCAAAGAAGCAAGCUCUACACUGAGAAGGUAACAAAGGAGCAGGCCAAAUACUAGAAGGUAUUUUCUUCCGAGAGCUGAUGCAACCAUGCCAGAGCCUUGCACGAGGAAAUGAGCUUACAUAGAACCUGGAUACUCUACUCUUGGGCUUUCUCUCUCAGGAAUAACAUUACUUGCAGCAGAAACUGAG
ensembl:lncRNA